rnacentral:rRNA from 1 species
CCCUUAGAUGUUCUGGGCUGCACGCGCGCUACACUGAUGCGCUCAACGAGUUUUAACCUUGCCUGGAAAGGUUGGGUAAUCUUUUUAAAACGCAUCGUGAUGGGGAUAGAUUAUUGCAAUUAUUAAUCUUCAACGAGGAAUUCCUAGUAAGCGCGAGUCAUCAGCUCGUGCUGAUUACGUCCCUGCCCUUUGUACACACCGCCCGUCGCUCCUACCGAUUGAGUGUUGCGGUGAAUAAUUCGGACUGCAGCAGUGUUUGGAUCCCGAACGUUGCAGCGGAAAGUUUAGUGAACCUUAACACUUAGAGGAAGGAGAAGUCGUAACA